rnacentral:lncRNA from 1 species
CAUGGAUGCUACAACUCGGAAAAAGAAAGCAGCCUUAGUGCUGUGAUUAGACUGCAUUUAUAAGACAUGAUUCAGACACCUAAAUUUAGGUGCGUGCACUGUAGGUGUCUAUGACAAGGCAGCUCUCUAUGGCACCAUUGUCAUACAGGUGAUUAAAAAGUUGAUUCAGUUUCCUGAAUCUUAGCUGUCCUGUGUCAUUUGAGAUUCUCGUUUGACAUUCUGUUGCUCAGUUCACAUGGAAUUUGUGGCCUGCUGCAAGGCAAAGAUCCCGCCAGAGACCAGGCAGGAUGUACUUGGGCUGGGACUUGAUUCAGCUGCUCAUGCACAGGCAUCUAUUACCAUCUGAGAUCCCUUCAGAAGUCCAAGAAGCACACAAGGCUGGAAGACAUGGCACACAGAAACUCUGUGAGCAGUUAGAUGCAUCCUGGCCUCCUCAGCUGGAUCUAGACUCAACUGCAAUGAAAGGUUCUCAAGGAGGCACAAGGAGGAUUCAGAGGAUUCAGGACCUUGUUCCAUCUCUGGAAGCAUGAAGCAUAUUGCUUUGUGUGGAACGUUGCUGAUCCAGAAUAGGAGGAGUCUACCACUGUUGGGGCCUUGUUCUCAGCUUCUUCCCCUGGCUGUGCUGAAACACAAGUAGUAACUAAAACACACUUCAGUUCUGGGAGAAGACCAAAACCUAUUCCUUUGAUGCUGAGUAAAUCUAACUUUAGGCAAUAUGCCUGCCAGUAGAUUCCCAGAACUCUGCUAGUUUAAGUCCACCCCAGCACCCAGGAUCACAGGGCUGUGUGGAGAGGAGCCCAGGAGACAAAAGAGGACGAAUACCUCUCACCUGACAGCUCACUAGAGAGUAUCCUCAGAUGGAGUCCUCCAAGUGUCCUUAAUUCUAUAUCUGCUCAGUGUACCCAUGGUAUCAUCUGAUUUUUAAUUUUUGCACAGUUUCUGACGUAUCUCAUUAUUACCUUGGCACCUGAGGGCUGUGAUUUGCAGUACAGGGUCCAUUCCAGACCACACUGAAUUAUAUCAGAAUUCCAAGGCAUAUUUGGCAGCUGCUAAUGGUGGCUGGCUAUUUUUAGAUUUAUUUUUUAUGUACUUCUCUCAGUUCAGAUCUGUCCUAUUUAAACUAUUUAAAAAUACAGGUCAAUUUCAGACCAGCAAUAUUUUUCUUGCAAUUUUAGGGGUAUAUUUUUACUGCUUACAAAAAAGGCCUUUUCAGUUACCUCGCCUCUAAUUCAAUUUUUCUAAAACUGUGUUGUAAUUAUUUUGAGACUCAAUCUUUAUCUCUGUCUCACCAGGAAUUGUGUGAAAUUGUCUCUCAGAAAGAGGACUGAAAUCCCUCUUGAACCCUUUGCACAAAAGGAAAUUUUUUUCACACAUCCAGUGAUACCUAUUUCUGUAGUCUGAACAUAAGCAGGUCAGCAGAUAUCAGAUUUUUUAUGGCCCUGCUCCUCGGUCUUUGCUGUUUAUUUGAGUGCUGUCAGAUUUGCACUGCUCUAAUUCACAAAGCCAAAUUCAGUGACCCCCAGUGCUUGA